UUGCUUGUAUGAAAAUUUGCAACGAUCCCUUCUAGUUGGUUCACUGAGAUCUCCCGAGGCACAUAUGCAGCAUUAAGGACCUUCAGGAGUGCCUCCCUGUGUGCCUCCGAACAUAGCAGGAGUGAGAGAAUAGAUAUCUUGGAUGGCAUCUGAAUCAACUGAUCGACUACCUUGUAAUUGCUUUUCUUUAUAAUUCUCAAAAGUUCGUCCACAUCCUUCGCAAAAGCAGGCUCAGAGCUAGCCUGUGCUGCAG
rnacentral:lncRNA from 1 species